AACGAACGCUGGCGGCGUGCCUAACACAUGCAAGUCGAACGAGAAAGGGGCUUCGGCUCCGAGUAAAGUGGCGCACGGGUGAGUAACACGUGGGUAACCUGCCUCUAAGAUUGGGAUAACUCGUCGAAAGAUGAGCUAAUACCGAAUAAGACCACAGUUCCCGCGGGAACAGGGGUCAAAGGUAGCCUCUGCUUGCAAGCUAUCACUUAGAGAUGGGCCUGCGCACCAUUAGCUAGUUGGUAGGGUAACGGCCUACCAAGGCAAAGAUGGUUAGCUGGUCUGAGAGGAUGAUCAGCCACACUGGAACUGAGACACGGUCCAGACUCCUACGGGAGGCAGCAGUGGGGAAUAUUGCGCAAUGGGCGAAAGCUUGACGCAGCAACGCCGCGUGAGUGAUGAAGGCCUUCGGGUCGUAAAGCUCUGUCGGGAGGAACGAAUGCUCCUGAGGUUAGCAGCCUCGGGAGGUGACGGUACCUUCAAAGGAAGCACCGGCUAACUCUGUG
rnacentral:rRNA from 1 species